CUUGAAGCCGCAGUCAGGGACUGCAGUCAUGGAGCUCAAUUCCUCAUGAGGGAUGUUGGAGAACAGAGCACACUUAAAGGAGCCCAGAAAGAUGAGCACAGAACACGGCUAGGCCCCGAGUUCCAAACAGACACUGUGACUUCAAGUGAGGAUGAAGGGGCAAGCCAACAGACCUGGAGCCAAGCUAGACACCACGGGUGGGUGGCAGCUACCACUGACUCCCAGUGGAGAGGAGAAUGGGUGGGGUGGAGCCUGUCAAAAGAACAGGUCUUAGCCUAAUGGUCUGCCAGCCCUCAGCUGCCUGUCACCACUGGAACCCUACAGUCAGACGCUGCGGGGUCCCUGGUCUGAACCUGCCAUGGUCCCAUUGGAUACAGAAAUCGUGCGCACAGCUGCUCUGAAGUCCCGCAUUGCUGGAGCCCAGUGGGGACAGAACAGAAAUGUGGCUGAAGAGACUGCUCAGCAAGUAAAGGUCUGGUUGCAGAGUCUGACAACUGUCCCUGGGGCCCAGACAGUGGAAGGCGAGAGCCGACUCCUGCAAGCUGGCCCCUGACCUCCGCAUUUGUACACAUGUCUAUGCACAGACAUGCUCACACUUCCACAGAUGUAAUUAAAGCAAGGUUUCAGAUUUUAUUUUCAUA